CCCUUAGAUGUUCUGGGCGGCCCGCGCACUACAUUGGCACUGGCAACAAGAUCCUAGAUCUGAUAUUUCGGGGUAUUCUACCAACUGGUGUCGUGACUGGGAUUAACCCCUGCAAUUAUUGGUUAUGAACGAGGAAUUCCUUGUAAUCACGGUUUAUCAACCCGUGUUGAAUGCGGCCCUGCCCUUUGUACACACCGCCCGUCGCUCCUACCGAUGAAUCGUCCGGUGAAGUUCAUGGAGUCGCGGCUGCUCCAGCUGUUUUCGAAGUGAAAUGGACCUCAUGAUUUAGAGGAAGGAGAANUCGUAACA
rnacentral:rRNA from 1 species